CGGACGGGUGAGUAAUGUCUGGGAAACUGCCCGAUGGAGGGGGAUAACUACUGGAAACGGUAGCUAAUACCGCAUAACGUCGCAAGACCAAAGAGGGGGACCUUCGGGCCUCUUGCCAUCGGAUGUGCCCAGAUGGGAUUAGCUAGUAGGUGGGGUAAUGGCUCACCUAGGCGACGAUCCCUAGCUGGUCUGAGAGGAUGAUCAGCCACACUGGAACUGAGACACGGUCCAG
rnacentral:rRNA from 1 species